UUGGAAGUAAAAAUCGUAACAAGGUUUCCGUAGGUGAACCUGCGGAAGGAUCAUUACCUAGAGUUUGUAGACUUCGGUCUGCUACCUCUUACCCAUGUCUUUUGAGUACCUUCGUUUCCUCGGCGGGUCCGCCCGCCGAUUGGACAACAUUCAAACCCUUUGCAGUUGCAAUCAGCGUCUGAAAAAACAUAAUAGUUACAACUUUCAACAACGGAUCUCUUGGUUCUGGCAUCGAUGAAGAACGCAGCGAAAUGCGAUAAGUAGUGUGAAUUGCAGAAUUCAGUGAAUCAUCGAAUCUUUGAACGCACAUUGCGCCCCUUGGUAUUCCAUGGGGCAUGCCUGUUCGAGCGUCAUUUGUACCUUCAAGCUCUGCUUGGUGUUGGGUGUUUGUCUCGCCUCUGCGUGUAGACUCGCCUUAAAACAAUUGGCAGCCGGCGUAUUGAUUUCGGAGCGCAGUACAUCUCGCGCUUUGCACUCAUAACGACGACGUCCAAAAGUACAUUUUUACACUCUGACCUCGGAUCAGUAGU
rnacentral:rRNA from 1 species